rnacentral:rRNA from 1 species
ACUGCUUUGAACAUCGACAUCUUGAACGCACAUUGCGGCCAUGGGCUAGCUCAUGGCCACGCCUGUCCGAGGGUCGGCUUAUAAACUAUCACGACGCCCAAAAAGUCGUGGCUUGGGUCUUGCCAGCUGACGUGAUUUCCCUAUUUGUGCAAACGAACGGGGUGUCAGAUCUAUGGCGUUUCCCUAAUAAUUCCAGUUACAACUCCUUUUGGCUGAAGGCCAUAUUGGAGGGUGAUUGUGGAGUCGUGGCUCAAUGGUAAUGUUUGUGCGCGCUCUGCAUGUUCACCGCUGUAUCUGUCUAAUGUGAAAUGCUUUUCGCAUUUUACCUGACCUCGGAUCAGACGUGAAUACCCGCUGAACUUAAGCAUAUCACUAAGCGGAGGAAAAGAAACUAACAAGGAUUCCCUCAGUAACGGCGAGUGAACAGGGAAAAGCCCAGCACCGAAGCCUGUGGCCAUUUGGUCAUUAGGCAAUGUGGUGUUUAGGUCGUUCCGCAGAGGUUCUGCUCCACCCUAAGUCCAUCAAUGAGUACGGUAGUAUGGACAUGGCCCAUUGAGGGUGAAAGGCCCG